rnacentral:rRNA from 1 species
AGUGAACGCUGGCGGUAGGCCUAACACAUGUAAGUCGAACGGCAGCACAGGAGAGCUUGCUCUCUGGGUGGCGAGUGGCGGACGGGUGAGGAAUACAUCGGAAUCUACUUUUUCGUGGGGGAUAACGUAGGAAUACUUACGCUAAUACCGCAUACUACCUACGGGUGAAAGCAGGGGACCUUCGGGCCUUGCGCGAUUGAAUGAGCCGAUGUCGGAUUAGCUAGUUGGCGGGGUAAAGGCCCACCAAGGCGACGAUCCGUAGCUGGUCUGAGAGGAUGAUCAGCCACACUGGAACUGAGACACGGUCCAGACUCCUACGGGAGGCAGCAGUGGGGAAUAUUGGACAAUGGGCGCAAGCCUGAUCCAGCCAUACCGCGUGGGUGAAGAAGGCCUUCGGGUUGUAAAGCCCUUUUGUUGGGAAAGAAAUCCAGCUGGCUAAUACCCGGUUGGGAUGACGGUACCCAAAGAAUAAGCACCGGCUAACUUCGUGCCAGCCGCCGCCGUAA